rnacentral:ribozyme from 1 species
UUUUCCAACUUGAUUGCCAUUGGUUUCGGUGCCCUUUGGAUCUUGUAUGUUUAUAUUACCAACGAAUACGGAAUAGAUGCGGCCAAAAACGCGUUUGUGUAUUUUUGCCUCAUAUACAUCCUC